GAAAUGCGAUAAGUAAUGUGAAUUGCAGAAUUCAGUGAAUCAUCGAAUCUUUGAACGCACCUUGCGCCCUUUGGCUAUUCCGAAGGGCAUGCCUGUUUGAGUAUCAUGAACACCUCAACUCUCAUGGCCUGCCAUGAUGAGCUUGGACUUUGGGGGUCUUGCCGGCCUAACCGUUGGCUCCUCUCAAAUGAAUCAGCUUGCCAGUGUUUGGUGGCAUCACAGGUGUGAUAACUAUCUACGCUUGUGGUUCUCCACCAGGUAACCUUCAGCAAUGGAGGUUCGCUGGAGCUCACAGACGUCUCUCCUCAGGGAAGACAGCUUUUUGAACGUUUGAUCUCAAAUCAGGUAGGACUACCCGCUGAACUUAAGCAUAUCAAUAAGCGGAGGAAAAGAAACU
rnacentral:rRNA from 1 species